CCUACGGGAGGCAGCAGUGAGGAAUAUUGGUCAAUGGGCGAAAGCCUGAACCAGCCAAGUAGCGUGAGGGAUGACUGCCCUAGGGGUUGUAAACUUCUUUUAUAGAGAAGUAAAGGUCAGAAAGUAUACGUUUUUGUAUGUACGUUAUCUAUACGGAUAGGCUAACGCCGUGCCGGCAGCCGCGGUAAUACGUAGGAUCCGAGCGUUAUCCGGAUUUAUUGGGUUUAAAGGGAACGGAGACGGGUGUUUAAGUCAGUUGUGAAAGUUUUCGGCUCAACCGGAAUAGUGCAUUGGAUACUGGGAGUCUUGAGUGCAGAAGAGGUAGGUGGAAUUCGAGGUGUAGCGGUGAAAUGCGUAGAUAUAAGGAAGAACGCCGAUGGCGAAGGCAGCUUACUGGACUGUAACUGACGCUGAUGCUCGAAAGUGUGGGUAGCAAACAGGAUUAGAUACCCCUGUAGUC
rnacentral:rRNA from 1 species